rnacentral:lncRNA from 1 species
ACCGCAAGAAUGUCGAGAAGCAAGGAAGAAAAACAGAGGACAUUUUUUAUCAAUUUCACCUUUAUUGGAAGGUAAUAUGUUUUAUUUAAUAUCAAUCCUUGUAGUAGAGUACUUAGAUUGCCAAUAUAGAUGGAAAUUUAGGACAUCGAGCCCGAAUUUAAUGCGAUAUUUCGGCAUAAAGUUUGUGCUUUUGCUUUGCACGUGGCUCGCUUCAUGGGCGAUUGUCGAACUUUAAACCGUAUUUUAGUUCGUAAUUAUUGUCAAUACUGUAGACCAAGUGAGUAAAAGGACUAAUUAAGAUCUGGAAUUGUUUAAGUUGUCGAAAAAACUUGUUAUCUCUGAGUUGUUGCCGAAAAUGUUUGUAUUAAAUGCCGUAUACCGAGACCAGGCGCUUGGUGGGUAAUUUCAUCAGCUUGUACAUUUUAACAAUCUUGCGACAAAAUGUUUUAACAAUAUGCUGUUUUUGUUCAUUUAUAAUAAUUUUGCAGAAAAAACCUAGCUUUAGCAACAUUACAACGUAUUUGAUUCUUGCUUGCAAAACAAAAAAUUGAAAAUAAAAAAAAAUUUAAUUAAAAAUAAAACUAAGUGAAAAUUGCUACAAUAAGGCAAAAUCCAGAAUUGUGUUUGUUGACGUCACUGCAGACUGGUAUAAAUUUUGAUAGUAAAAGGCCAUGAGGUGCGACUAUGGGUAGGUGGGGCUUUUCGGCAAGCGGGUUAGUAAGAUUAAUUUAAACUUCUGAGGGUGGGAAGCAUGGGUGGAUUUACUGGUGGGUUAGGGCCCUAGAAUCUCUCUAGCUCCUCUUAUAAAGUGUUGAACCCCACCAAAAUUUUGCUUCACUCCUCCUAUUUUAUGUAAUAGUCUUUAACCCUAACGCCUGGCGAAGCUCAAUGCACCAGCAGCAGUGUAAAGCCUUUUUUCGACAUGGGCUGUUGAACUUAAAAGCAUAUUUAACUUGAUUUAUUGGUACAGUGGAUGCUUGGAGUCAAAAUGAAGUUGAAAAAAAUUUCAAUCAAAUUUCAAUGUUUCCAAUUCAUCCGCAUUUUUCUGAUCAUUUUUGAACAUUACAAAAAAUAGCAAAGAAUAUGUGGUUCAGAAUACAAAUUUUCUUCAAAUAUUUUUGGCUUGACAUCGGUCAGCAAUUGCUGUGAUCAGUUGGCAUUGCCAUAACAUAUAAACAUUUCAAGAAACAAUAACUGCACGGGCAACAGGCAUCAAGUUACAUCAUAAAGCAAACAACAGAAAAUAGGGUAGGCAGGUAAGCGAACAACUCAUGAUCAACCACAUCUAGAAAAACAUUAGGGCAGACAAAAUAGGGUUGGCUGGAAAACCGGAACCACAGGAUAUUGUUUUGUUUCAGGCUCUAUUCAUAUUGAGCUUUUCAUCUCGCUAGCCAAGCUAUUCACAUCCUCAGUAAAAUUCUCAGAAAUGUUUGUAGAUGCACAGUGCAAGUUCCAAGAAUGUCGCAAGCCUUUGCCUCAAGACCUCAUGAUUACGAAAAAUGGGCACAUUCCAAGAUCCUAACAGAGGUAAAUGAUUUUUCUUCUAAUUAUUUGAAUUUAUUUCUGACCUCCUUAUAUUUCUUGGAAAAUUUUCUUUGUAAUAUAUUAAUUUGUUUCAUGUUCUCAACAGUGAGUUUUUAAAAUGUUCUAGAUUGGUGUUGCAAUUUCCAAGAAUGUCUCAAGUUGUUGGCUGAAGUGUUUUGGAUCACAAAAAUGAACACCGUUAUUGGAAAGUAUAUAAAAGGUCUUAAUAUUUUCCUGUCUUAUUUUACAUGAAAUGCUUUGAACAUUAUAUGAUCUUUCUUGUGAUCAGUAGUUUCAAAAAUCCCAGCAGAAUAUAUAUUGCAAAAAUAGCAUGACCAUCUUACUUGUGACACAAAAUACAACAAAGAUAAC